rnacentral:rRNA from 1 species
GAUGAACGCUGGCGGCGUGCUUAACACAUGCAAGUCGAACGGAAAGGCUCCUGCUUGCAGGGGUACUCGAGUGGCGAACGGGUGAGUAACACGUGGGUGAUCUGCCCUGCACUUCGGGAUAAGCCUGGGAAACUGGGUCUAAUACCGGAUAGGACGAUGGUUUGGAUGCCAUUGUGGAAAGUUUUUUCGGUGUGGGAUGAGCUCGCGGCCUAUCAGCUUGUUGGUGGGGUAUUGGCCUACCAAGGCGUCGACGGGUAGCCGGCCUGAGAGGGUGUACGGCCACAAUGGGACUGAGAGACGGACCAGACGCCUACGGGAGGCAGCAGUGGGGAAUAUUGCACAAUGGGCGCAAGCCUGAUGCAGCGACGCCGCGUGGGGGAUGACGGCCUUCGGGUUGUAAACUCCUUUCGCUGGGGACGAAGCGCAAGUGACGGUACCUGGAGAAGAAGCACCGGCUAACUACGUG